UCCAUGGGCUAUCACAGAGCCAUGACAGCAACUGCCAGGGAGCCACCAAAACAAAAGCCGGCCGAGAAAAUUCUUCCAAAAGCCUCAACCGCUAUUACAAUAUCUGAAGUAAGGCAGAAAGAGAAUGACAAAUACCAUGAAAUACUUUAAAGAUUCCAGAUGCCCCGAACGGCUAGCUUUCUUCCUAUGCUGGGUUACAGCAGUGACAAGUCUCCGUCAGCUCUCUUCUCUAUGCAACACCGCAGUGGCGUCCCAGUGGGUACCAGAUGAAGCCCAGCUCUCCGGUCUGCA